GGAUAGCUGCUUUCUUCAGUGGGCCAGGAACAGGCUCCCUUCAGGCUUUCUCAGUGCUGCUGUUUAAGCCUUCAGGGCAGAUGUUUUAAAAUAUAUAUAUGCAAAUAGAUAGAUAGGUAGGUAGAUAAGAUCAACGAGUGUCUGGGAAAGUGGGCUGUGUGUCUUUGUUGUUUGCUCUUUAAUGUUGAUCGCCCCCUCCCCAAGCUGAGGGCAUCUCUGCCUCCUGAAAUGAAGAUAACGCAUUGUCAAGAGCUGAACUAGCUCCUACUGGUUUAUUAAUACCACCUCCUGGAUCUAUCAACAGCAAGACAGACACUUUUCACACUGGAGAAUUAAAAAAAACAAUCUGCACCUUGUCGGGCCUGCUCACUAGGAAUAGUCACAGAUCUGCAGCCCCUGAUAAUUACUCACAUGGGUCUUCACACUGCCUGCAUUUCCAUUUCAAUUGUUGACAUUGCACAGGACUACCUCAUCUGCCUAAAAAGGUGCUGUGGAUUGAGCUUUUACUGAAAAGAGGCUGAAAACGAGACUUCUGGGAGAGCAAAGAACAGAGCUUUGAUUUUCUUGCCUGCUUAAUCCCAAUUCAUUCGUCUCUUCUGGAUCCUGAAUUCCGGGAAGGACCAUAUAGCUGGCUGUCAACAGGCUGCGAUUGUGCACAGGGGAAAACAGCAUGGACUAGACUGAGUGGAUUCAGAACGUUAGAUGAAGGCAAAAUCAUGGAAAGGUCUGCUUCUGUCUCAUGCAGGAAGAAGAAGGAAUUCCUUUGCUAUGUUCAGCAAACCGGAUGUGUGAGCUGUAAGUCUAAUCUUUGCGAGUCUGCUUAGAACAACAUUGAAAGUAGGUUGUUUUAUUCCAGCGUUUCAGGGUGGGCAUGAGGUACUGGGGAUUUUUUGUUAUGUUUCUUUUGCUGCUGCUUUUUCGUUAAGGACUUACCUGCAGUGAUUAAGAAAGAAAUAAACAUAAAAACAAAACAAAACA
rnacentral:lncRNA from 1 species